rnacentral:rRNA from 1 species
GUAGUCCACGCCGUAAACGAUGGAUACUAGCUGUUGGAUUGCAAGAUUCAGUGGCUAAGCGAAAGUGAUAAGUAUCCCACCUGGGGAGUACGAACGCAAGUUUGAAACUCAAAGGAAUUGACGGGGGCCCGCACAAGCGGUGGAGCAUGUGGUUUAAUUCGAUGAUACGCGAGGAACCUUACCAAGGCUUAAAUGUAGAUUGACAGCAGUGGAAACAUUGCCUUCUUCGGACAAUUUACAAGGUGCUGCAUGGUUGUCGUCAGCUCGUGCCGUGAGGUGUCAGGUUAAGUCCUAUAACGAGCGCAACCCCUGUUGUUAGUUGCCAGCGAGUCAUGUCGGGAACUCUAACAAGACUGCCAGUGCAAACUGUGA